GUUGCUCGGAAUCACUGGGCGUAAAGCGCACGUAGGCGGAUCUUUAAGUCAGGGGUGAAAUCCUGGAGCUCAACUCCAGAACUGCCUUUGAUACUGGCAGCUAGAGUCCGGAAGGGGUAAGUGGAACUCCUAGUGUAGAGGUGGAAUUCGUAGAUAUUAGGAAGAACACCAGUGGCGAAGGCGGCUUACUGGUCCGGAACUGACGCUGAGGUGCGAAAGCGUGGGGAGCAAACAGGAUAGAAACCCCU
rnacentral:rRNA from 1 species